GAAGACCUUACCUACCCUUGACAUGCCAGGGAGCUUGCUGAGAGGCGAGUGUGCCCGAAAGGGAACCUGGACACAGGUGCUGCAUGGCUGUCGUCAGCUCGUGUCGUGAGAUGUUGGGUUAAGUCCCGCAACGAGCGCAACCCUUGUCACUAGUUGCUACGAAAGGGCACUCUAGUGAGACUGCCGGUGACAAACCGGAGGAAGGUGGGGAUGACGUCAAGUCCUCAUGGCCCUUAUGGGUAGGGCUUCACACGUCAUACAAUGGCGCAUACAGAGGGCUGCCAACCCGCGAGGGGGAGCCAAUCCCAGAAAGUGCGUCGUAGUCCGGAUUGCAGUCUGCAACUCGACUGCAUGAAGUCGGAAUCGCUAGUAAUCGCGGAUCAGCAAUGUCGCGGUGAAUACGUUCCCGGGUCUUGUACACACCG
rnacentral:rRNA from 1 species